rnacentral:rRNA from 1 species
UACGUAGGGUGCGAGCGUUGUCCGGAAUUAUUGGGCGUAAAGAGCUUGUAGGCGGUCUGUCGCGUCUGCUGUGAAAAUCCGGGGCUCAACCCCGGACUUGCAGUGGGGUACGGGCAGACUAGAGUGUGGUAGGGGGAGACUGGAAUUCCUGGUGUAGCGGUGGAAUGCGCAGAUAUCAGGAGGAACACCGAUGGCGAAGGCAGGUCUCUGGGCCAACUACUGA